rnacentral:rRNA from 1 species
AGUCGACGGAAAGGCUUUUUAUGACGCUUCGGUUGAUUAAAAAGUACUCGAGUGGCGAAAGGGCGAGGAAUAUAUAGAUAACAUACCACUAGCUAAGGGAUAGCUGCGGGAAACUGCAGGUAAUACCUUAUAAGACCACGACAUCUACGGUUGUUGAGGUCAAAGGAGCGGGCUUCGGUGCUCCGGCUAAUGAGUGGUCUAUAUCCUAUCAGGUAGUUGGUGAGGUAAUGGCUCACCAAGCCUACGACGGGUACCGGGACUGAGAGGCUGAUCCGGCGCAUUGGGACUGAGACACUGCCCAGACUCCUACGGGAGGCUGCAGUAACGAAUAUUGGACAAUGAACGAAAGUUUGAUCCAGCGACGCCGCGUGCAGGACGAAGUCCUUCGGGAUGUAAACUGCUGUCAGGGACUACCAAGCAAAUAGGAGGAAAUGCCUAUAAGUUGAGGAAUCCCAGAGGAAGCCACGGCUAACUUCGUGCCAGCAGCCGCGGUAAGACGAAGGUGGCGAGCGUUAUUCGGAAUCACUGGGCUUAAAGCGCAUGUAGGCGGACUGUCAAGCGUCUUGUGAAAUCCCACGGCUUAACCGUGGAAUUGCUUGGCGAACUGGCAGUCUUGAGGCAGGUAGGGGCAACAGGAACUCUUGGUGGAGCGGUGGAAUGCGUAGAUAUCAAGAGGAACGCCAGAGGCGAAGGCGUGUUGCUGGGCCUGUACUGACGCUGAGAUGCGAAAGCGUGGGGAGCGAACAGGAUUAGAUACCCUGGUAGUCCACGCCCUAAACGAUGUCUACUAGGUCGGAGGUUCUCUGACGAAUUUCUGGCCGAAAUGAAAACGUUAA